AGAAAGGUCAAUCACGUGCAUUACCACUAGUCCACUUAACUUAAUUUGACGCAAUAGAAGCUCGACAACACGGGGCUGAAGGUGGACUACUCCGGGACUGGACGUGGAUUUUCGGGACUACUCCGUCUCCUCUCAUCGGAUAUAUAGUCCAUCGAGCAACCGCGAGCUCGCCACUACUCUUACUGACGUCGGUAGAAGAAGGCCGUGGUGCUGAAAAAUCCACUUCCCUUGAAGGAAGCAUGGAGACGAAGACGACUACUCCGCUCCUGACUCCGUACAAGAUGGGCGAUUUCAACCUGGCGCAUAGGUCGUACGGGAACAUCGCCCAGCCGCACAACGCGCUGUACUACGCGCAGAGGGCGGCGCCGGGCGUCCUCCUCAUCGCCGAGGCCUGCGCCGUGUCCGAGGCCGCGCGGGGCUACCCGCACGUGCCCGGCCUGUGGAGCCAGGAGCAGGUGGAGGCGUGGAGGCCGGUGGUCGACGCUGUGCACGCCAAGGGCGCCGUCUUCUUCUGCCAGCUAUGGCACACGGGCCGCGUCUCGCCCACCGAGUUCCAGCCUAAUGGGCAAGCUCCGGUGUCGAGCACGGAUAAGCAAGUGCCGCCUGAGGUCGCCCAUGACGGUAGUGUCCUGGAGUUCGCGCCCCCUCGAAGAUUGGAGACGGAGGAGAUACCCCACAUCGUCAACGACUUCCGGGUCGCCGCUAGGAACGCCAUGAGAGCCGGGUUCGACGGCGUGGAGAUCCACGCCGGCAACGGGUACCUGAUCGACCAGUUCAUGAAGGACGGCGUCAACGACCGGACCGACGAGUACGGCGGCGGCCUGGACAACCGCUGCCGCUUCGCCGCCGAGGUGAUCGCGGCCGUGUGCCACGAGGCCGGCGCGGGCCGCGUGGGCGUGCGCCUCUCCCCGUUCGCCGACUACGUCGACUGCGUGGACUCCGACCCGGAGGCGCUCGCGCUGCACGUGAUGGGCGUCAUGAACGGGCUCGGUGUCCUCUACUGCCACAUGAUCGAGCCGCGGAUGUGCGUCAACGAGUGGAUGAUCCCGCGGCGCCUGCUGCCGUUCAGGAAGGCGUUCAAGGGCACCUUCAUGGUGAACGGCGGGUACGACCGGGAGGAAGGGGACAAGGCCGUCGCCGAAGGCUACGCUGAUCUUGUGGCGUACGGGCGGCUCUUCCUGGCCAACCCCGACCUGCCAGAGAGGUUCAGGAGGAACGCGGUUCUGAAUAAGUAUGACAGGAGCACGUUCUACACAUCUGAUCCUGUUGUUGGGUACACCGAUUACCCUUUUCUUGAAACGGAGGAUUAGCUAAGGGCAUGAACAGUGAUUGAUAAGACAUUCUUAUCUUAAUCCUUUCAUGCAAUUUAGAGAUGACAAUAAAACCAUGUCUACGAUAGAGUAUGUCUUAGUCUUAUCUUAAAUAACUAGUUAUUUGUAAUAUAUAGUGAGACAUAUUGUGCUAGGAGAUCAUCUCUUAAAUAAGAGAAAACGAGUCUUUUCUUGUGAUUUCUUUCUUCUCCACCUCAACAUUUAUCCUAUGUAACAAUUUUAACAUAGCACCAUUGUACAUAUCCUAACUGGUUGGUUCA
rnacentral:rRNA from 1 species